ensembl:snRNA U2 U2 spliceosomal RNA
UUCUGUGUCUUGGCAUUUUGGCUAAGAUCAAGUGUAGUAUCUGUUCUCAUCAGCUUAAGUCUGGUAUGUCCUCUAUCCAGGCUUCCCAGGUGGCAAUAGUGGUAAAGAACCCAU